GGCUGAAAAUGCAGUAGCAGUGAGAUGCCCAUUAUGUGAACUCGAAGUCCUCGUGCACGGUGUACUAGGCAAAGUCACAAACCUAAGACACCGUAAUGGCUGGAACCUGUGAAUUCCUUCCCUUCCCCGGAAAAAGAAACCGUGAAGACGUGAUCAAGGGUUUGCACCUUGAGCUAAGGAGGCUAACAUGGAUUAUCCAGGUGUACCCAAUCUCACCACAUACAUCUUAAAAGUAGAAAGCAUUUUCCUGGCAUAGUCACAGAGAUGCAGUGGAAGCAGGAGGAGAGGUUCAAAGUGUGAGAGGGACUCUUUGCUCCCUUAAAGAUAGAAGAGGGGGACUGGCCAAAGACCGAGGACACCCUUGAGAGCUGGACAUAGCUCUUCGUUGACUACCAGAAAGAAAACAGAGGCGUCAGCACCGCACCCACAAUGUCUGUGUGAAUAUCACACCAUUCUGUUUCAGUGAGAAGGGCCCGACACUAAGCUUCCAGAGAGGAGCGCAGUCCUUCCCAAUACCUUCACUGUGACCCGUAGCCGACUUCCGAUCUUCAAAACCAUUGUGCAUGUGCGGAAUCACUUCAAAGAAGAUGCAUCAAAUGCUUUUCAUGUUGAAAGAACUCCCGGCAAAGCAUUAUCAGGCUGCACACCCAGUUCACAGCCCAGUCACUCAGGGGCGGCUGAAGAUACUCAGGAAAAGAAGUAAAUAUUAAUUUGCUGUCUCCAAAGAAACAUCAAGAUGUCAACCACAGCUUACCUUCGUUUCUUCUCAUGUCCACAUUUAAAUUUUUCAGUAAAUAGUGAGUACUUCUUGUCUAUCUAUAGUCUACUGCUUGUAAGAAAGAUGAGACUAUCUGC
rnacentral:lncRNA from 1 species